rnacentral:lncRNA from 1 species
UGAUUUUCAUGGGUCUUUCUAACUUUAUGAUUCCCUUAUUCUGAUAUAAAUGACUUGGACUCCUUCUCUUACCUAAUCUUUACAGAUAGUACAGGAAGAGGAGGGCUUGCUUGAUUUGAUUCACAGUUAUGGAUAUGCCAUCAUGUGACGUUUUAACCUCACUGCGUUGUGAAAAGAAUUACUCAACCUCUCUCCACCACUGUGGCAUUAAUUAGAUGUUUUCAGAGAUUUAUACUAUUAUAUUUAAAUAAAACAAUAAACUCCUUGGAGAAGAAAAUAAUUCAAAGUAUGUUUAUAGGAAAUUUCUGGUUUGGUAAGUACAUUUAUUCAUGUUGUAAGAUUUUUAAAGUUCUUUUUUUUUUUUUUUUUUAAUUUCAUGUCAGAUGGGUAAUGUGCCAUGGUCAUAACAAGGUUUCAGGGAGGCACAUGUCACACAACGGCAUGAGCCCCCAAUCAUCAUGCUCAUGAACUACAAAAGGAUCCUCUUAUUCUUCUUUGACUCAAUAUCAUUAUUUUAUAUUAGAUUUUAUUUCCUUAUCUUACUAUAAUUCCUUAGUUCUUAUUCUAGUAAUUAUUUGGCUAAAUAAUAAAUUGUUUUUCUUCAUAGACA